rnacentral:piRNA from 1 species
AAUAGAAAGGGCAAGGACAAGGAAA